UAUUACACUGAUAGAAGAGAACGAAAAAGAGAGACAGAAUGAGUGUGUGUGAGAGAGAGAGAGAGAAAGAAGAGAAGAGAAGAGCUUAGAUCGAGUCGAAGAAAAAUGAGGCCAUAUACUAACUCGUUACCCAUUUCCUACGAUCGUCGCGAGCUCGUUUUACGACUGACGUAAGAAAAUACUUGCGAGCUGUAUUUACGUGCUCGUACACUAUACAUGGGCAUUCUUCGUAGACGCUUAUACACGUACAGGCUGAUUCAUAUAACCAAGGAAAAGGACGAUCCUGAAUCAUGCUGUAGAUCGGUCGAUCAUCGUAUAUGGAUUCGCAUGCGUGCAAGCUAGAGGAUACCUAAGCGGGGAUUAUUCAUUAUUUUACGACAUGACCAACCUCGAAUAACCAACGUCGUCUCUUCUCUUCCUUUCCUUAUGCUUUUCCAUGGAUCUUGGUCUUUUCAAGUUUUUCAUUUCUAUAUAGAGAUAGACAGAGAAAUAAAAAAAAAGAGAGAGAGAGAGAGAGAGAGAGAGAGAGAGAGAGAGAUAGAGAAAGAAAGAGAGAGAGAGAAAGUCACAGGCAUUGGAAACCACUGUAUUAAAGGCAGUCCGACGAAGCGGAAGCAGAAACGUUCAGAAUGUAGAGAGAAUGAUAGAGAGAAAGAAAGAGAGAGAGAGAGAGAGAGAGAGAGAGAGAAAGAGAAGAAGAAGAAAGGGAAGGACGACAUUUACGGCGUCAGAAACGUCGUUAUCCUAGGGUUGACGAAUACGACUGGUCGUAACGAGGCGGAACAAGCGGUGGUAACUUUGCGGCAGGUUAACGCUGACGCAUACAUAUACAUAUACACAUACACAUAUACACACACACACCAUACAAAUAAAAACAUACAUACACAUAUAUAUAUGUGUAUAUAUAUAUAUAUAUAUAUAUAUGUGUAUGUAUAUAUCCGUACGCGAGAGAGAAGACAUGCACGAACGUACAGACACAUAUAAAUACCAUCCUAAGAUUUCUCUGGAAGAGUAUGGAAGGUCGUCAGAGCAAGUCCCCAUGUCGGGGAAGGCAAGCAAGCAAACUUAUAUAGUUAGAUCCUUCCUCCUCAUCCUCCGUGAAUCGAAAACGGCAGCCGGCUUUCUUCGAUGGGUCGAAGGUUCGCCUUGGCUUGUAAGCAACGCCUACUUACAGCCUCGCAGAGGGAAAUGCCGUGGGUAAAUGAUUGAUAGGUCGCCAUACGCGUGUCGUUCUCGCGUACCCGCAUGAGUUUCAAGAGAAAUAGUGAGUGAGAGAUAGAGAGAAAUAGAGAAAUAUAGAGAGAGGGAGAGAGAGAGAGAGAGAGAGAGAAGUUAAGAGUAGGAAGGAGAAAGGAAGAGCCUGUGGUACCAAGUCAUAGGUUAACCAUUGUGGUGUGUACACACGCCAGAGACACGACUACCACGAGCUCAAGGGUGAAAGUUUAGCCCGCACUGCCGUUUCUCUCUUGCGGUUCGGAUCGUACGAUUCGCUGUAAGAACGCGACAUAAUAGACCGAAGAUGCACCUUCUCUUCUUCUUUCAUUCUCUUUCCUUUUCUAUCUUUCUCUUUCUCUCUUUCUCUUUCUCGCUCUAUCGUUCUUACCAUGCACUUACGAUGCAUCCUCGUCAAGCCAUUUGCCUUUCUUGCUAAGACUAGGAAGAGCCUUUGCGUUUCGUUCAACGAUAUUUCAUCGAAAGCAUGCACCGGACUCUCUUCCGUACAUACCAUUUCGAUCGAUCAAGACCUUAUUAUUAUUUGGACUUGGACUUUUAUUAUCGACGAAUUGAAAAGUGUUUGUGUAUUUUUUAACGUCGCGAUUAUUUCUAUUUUCUUUUUCUUUUCUUUCUUUUUUCUUUUAUUUUUUUCUUUUCAAUGUUACGUGCGUAACUUCAUCGCGAUAUAUUAUAGAUGUUAUCGUUUAUUUUAAUAAUUAAUAAGAGAGCGAGAGAGGGACAGAGAAAGAUAGAAAGACAAUUAAAAAUGUGUAUGUAUUAUUAUUUCGAUAUUUUAGAUGAUAGUUAAAAAUUGUUUUCU